UUUAGAGUUUGAUCCUAGCUCAGGAUGAACGCUGGCGGCGUGGAUAAGGCAUGCAAGUCAAACGGGAUAAUUUGUGAUUAUAUCAAUAAUUGUUCAGUGGCAGACGAGGUAGUAACACGUAGGAACCUACUCCCAAGUCGAGAAUAAUUUGUCGAAAGAUAAACUAAUACUCGAUAAUAUCUUCGCCCUCCGAAAGGCGGGCAGGGAUUAAAGGAGCAAUUCGCUUAGGAAAGGGCCUGCGAAGUAUCAGCUAGUUGGUAGGGUAAUGGCCUACCAAGGCAAUGACGCUUAGGGGACCUGAGAGGGUGACCCCCACCGAUGGGACUGAGACACGGCCCAUACACCUACGGGUGGCUGCAGCCGAGAAUCUUCCGCAAUGGACGAAAGUCUGACGGAGCGACGCCGCGUGAUGGAUGAAGUCCCUAGGGACGUAAACAUCUUUUAUGGAGGAGAAACCCAGCACUUAGCAAUAAGUGCUGGGUGAUAGUACUUCACGAAUAAGGGGUUGCUAAACUCGUGCCAGCAGCAGCGGUAAUACGAGUACCCCAAGCGUUAUCCGGAAUCAUUGGGCGUAAAGGGUGUGUAGGCGGUAUGGUUAGUCUUCUGUCAAAAUCUCGGGCUCAACCCGAGACCUGCGGAGGAAACGGCCACACUGGAGAAUGUAGGGGUGAAAUCCGUUGAUAUCAUGGGGAACACCGAAAGCGAAGGCAAUUCACUGGCGCAUUUCUGACGCUGAAACACGAAAGCGUGGGUAGCGAACGGGAUUAGAUACCCCGGUAGUCCACGCCCUAAACGAUGAUCACUAGCUUUUCGGAGUAUCAACCCUCUGAGAGGCGAAGCUAACGCGUUAAGUGAUCCGCCUGGGUAGUACGGCCGCAAGGCUAAAACUCAAAGGAAUAGACGGGGACUUGCACAAGCAGUGGAUUAUGCGGUUUAAUUCGAUGUUGAACGAAGAACCUUACCAGGGUUAGAAAUCUAAGUGAAGAUACGCAGAAACGUGUGUCGUCCGCAAGGACAGUUAGACAGGUGAUGCAUGGCCGUCGUCAGUUCGUGAUUUGAAUUGUUCCCUUAAGUGGGGUAACGAACGCAACCCUCGUUGCCAGUUACAAGUGUCUGGCGAGACUGCCCCGAUUUAAGUUUUUGAGAUUCCCAAGGUUCGACCUUAGGAAUUCUAAAGGUCGAACCUUUAAUCAAAAAUUUAAAUCGGGGAGGAAGGCGAGGAUGACGCCAGGUCAGCAUGUCCCUUGAUACCCUGGGCUACACGCAUAAUACAAUCGCCGUUACAACAGGUUGCGACGGAGUAAUCCUGAGCCAAUCCUAAGAAAAGCGGCGCCAGUUCGGAUAGGGGGCUGCAACUCGCCCCCUUGAAGCCGGAAUUGCUAGUAAUCGCGGGUCAGCUAUACCGCGGUGAAUACGUUCUCAAGUCUUGUACUCACCGCCCGUCAAGUCAGGGAAGUUGGGAGUACUCAAAAUCUCACUUAUGUGAGCCUACGGUAAACUCAAUGACAAGGACUAAGUCGUAACAAGGCACGGGUAGCGGAAGCUGC
rnacentral:rRNA from 1 species